UACAGAGGGGGCAAGCGUUGUUCGGAAUUACUGGUCGUAAAGGGCGCGUAGGCGGCCUUCUAAGUCGAACGUGAAAUCCCUGGGCUCAACCCAGGAACUGCGUCCGAUACUGGAAGGCUUGAAUCCGGGAGAGGGAUGCGGAAUUCCAGGUGUAGCGGUGAAAUGCGUAGAUAUCUGGAGGAACACCAAUAGCGAAGGCAGCUCGCUGGGACGGUACUGACGCUGAGGCGCGAAAGCGUGGGGAGCGAACAGG
rnacentral:rRNA from 1 species